rnacentral:pre_miRNA from 1 species
AAGUAGUGUGACAUGCCCGUUUGGGAUAUACUUUGAUGUAUUAUUUAACAUUUAAUUACUUUUGGAUAAUGGGGUGUUACAACAACC